rnacentral:rRNA from 1 species
UACGGAGGGUGCAAGCGUUAAUCGGAAUUACUGGGCGUAAAGCGUGCGCAGGCGGUUUGUUAAGUCUGUUGUGAAAUCCCCGAGCUCAACUUGGGAAUUGCAGUGGAUACUGGCAGGCUGGAGUAUGGUAGAGGAAGGUGGAAUUCCCGGUGUAGCAGUGAAAUGCGUAGAGAUCGGGAGGAACACCAGUGGCGAAGGCGGCCUUCUGGACCAAUACUGACGCUCAUGCACGAAAGCGUGGGGAGCAAACAGG